rnacentral:rRNA from 1 species
GAGAAUGCGGGUGACUUUCCUCUCGUGUGGGUUCAGGCGGCCGGCCGUUUGCCGCAGAUGCUGUGGAUACCUCGGGACCAGGUGUCUGCGGAUUGUCCGGUUGGCCUUGCAGCACUCCCGCCGAGAGCGGUCAGCGAGAGUUCGACGGUGCUCCAGGAGUCCGUGUCGGGAGUUGGCGCGAUCCCUCGGGAUUGCUCUCUGUCCGCGCGGUACCGGAGCGGGUCGUACUGAGGACAGUGGCGUCCCUCGCCUAAUCAGCGCAAGCCUUAGGGCCGGUCGGGCCGCGUCGGCGGAGUUGGCCUGGCGAGACUGCAUGCAGUGUCGCCGCGGUCAACAAAGCCGGGGCGGUCGCUGUCACGAUUGACGCUUGGGUCGCUGGCCUCCCGUCGCCCCCAUCCGU